CACUCACUCUCACACACACACACACACACUCACACACUCUCUCUCACACACACACCGGACGAGGGAGACUCCGCUGCCUUUCACCUGCAGGUUUCUCUCUUGUGUUGUUCAGAUUUUAACUUGAGUUGUUCACGGUUUACGUCUUCGGUUGUGUUUGAUUGGCUGUGUUCAGAGCGAGGACAGACUGGGGUCAGAGGUCAAAGGAAAUGUGAUUUAGCAUUAUUUUGGGGUGAAGAUGGAAGUGUUUUCAUGUGAUUGGCCCUCGUAACAGACGUGUCACAGACGGCAGGAAGAGGAAGUCAUGUGACCAGCAGUUUCUGUUGAGAGGAGCAGGACUUCAGCGUUUGGACCGACAGCAGCUUUAACACUGAAUCUGGCGAGCGGAUCGGAUCGGAUCUCAGAGCUGUCUGUGAAGCUGUGAUGUGUGACGGCAGUCUCGACUUCUCUAGGCGCUGAUAUUUUUACACGCGUCUCAUUUUGUGCUCAAACACGCUUGUUUUGUUCUGCACGUCUCAUGUACAAACGCUGUGAGGACUGUGUUCUUUUAAAGGUAUUUACCUCUUUUCCUCUGUAGUUUUAACAGAUACAUUUAUUACAUUUUGUAAAGUUUGAAUGUUUAUAUACCACAUGUAACAAUAUUAUAAUCUUUGUCAUUUUGAUUUGGAAUAACCUUCAUUUGUAUAAAUGUUAUAAAC